rnacentral:rRNA from 1 species
AGUGAACGCUGGCGGUAGGCCUAACACAUGCAAGUCGAACGGCAGCACAGUAAGAGCUUGCUCUUACGGGUGGCGAGUGGCGGACGGGUGAGGAAUACAUCGGAAUCUACUUUUUCGUGGGGGUUAACGUAGGGAAACUUACGCUAAUACCGCAUACGACCUACGGGUGAAAGGAGGGGAACUUCGGACCUUGCGCGGAUGAAUGAGCCGAUGUCGGAUUAGCUAGUUGGGGGGGUAAUGGCCCACCAAGUCGACGAUACGUAGCUGGUCUGGGAGGAUGGUCGGCCACACGAGAGCUUAGACACGGUCCAGAGUCCUACGGGAGGCAGCAGUGGGGAACAUUGGACAAUGGGGGCAAGCCUGAUCCAGCCAUACCGCGUGGGUGGAGGAAGCCUUCGGUUUGUAAAGCCCGUUUGUUGGGAAAGAAACGCAGCAGGUUAAUACCCCGCUGGUCUGACGGUACCCAAAAAAUAAGCACCGGCUAACUUCGUG